GCGCUUUAUACUAAUGACGUCAUGAAAUUUUAGACCCCCCGCGUGACUCAGACAAACAAACUCCACUUCUUUGAGAGCUACAAGGGAAAUGGCGGGUAGUUCGCUUAUUCCCUUACAGUUCUGACCGAAGAAGACGGCGUUCCUGGCUCUAAAUUUGAAAGAGAACCAGAAGAAUACACUGUAGACCAGCUAAAACGGUGGUUAAAAUGAGCAUGUGCUCAACUUACUUGCGCUGGUCUUAGAUUUGCCUUCAGUGGAUCGGGAAAUUCGGCUGUUGGACCUUUUUCGCCGGGCCAGUGAAGAGCACAAA
rnacentral:lncRNA from 1 species